rnacentral:rRNA from 1 species
GAGUUUGAUCCUGGCUCAGGAUGAACGCUGGCGGCGUGCUUAACACAUGCAAGUCGAACGGGAAUGCCACGCUGAUGCGAUUUCGGUCAAAUCAUGUGGCAUUCGAGUGGCGGACGGGUGAGUAACGCGUGGGUAACCUGCCUUACACAGGGGGAUAACACCUGGAAACAGGUGCUAAUACCGCAUAAGCGCACAGGGCCGCAUGGCCCGGUGUGAAAAACUCCGGUGGUGUAAGAUGGACCCGCGUCUGAUUAGCUUGUUGGCGGGGUAGGGGCCCACCAAGGCGACGAUCAGUAGCCGGCCUGAGAGGGUGGACGGCCACAUUGGGACUGAGACACGGCCCAAACUCCUACGGGAGGCAGCAGUGGGGGAUAUUGGACAAUGGGGGAAACCCUGAUCCAGCGACGCCGCGUGAGUGAAGAAGUAUUUCGGUAUGUAAAGCUCUGUCAGCAGGGAAGAAAGAAAUGACGGUACCUGACCAA